rnacentral:lncRNA from 1 species
AGAGAAGAAUCCCGGCGAUAUGGGUGGCAGGGUUGACGGUGCAGGAGAUAAAAUUCCGGGGACUUGGCCCAUAUCAAGAUUACUGUCUUCAAGAAUAUCCAUAAUAUUAUCUACUGUGAAUUCUCUCUCUCUUUGCCUUUCAGAAGGACUUGUUUUCUCUAUGGAUGCUAGCCUGGCUGCCGGAGAGACGCAGUCGGCUGUGGAGGAGGUCGAGGCGGAUGCGGAGGUGGUGGUGUUGCCUGUGAGUUUUUGAACCAAGUCCAUAAAGUCACCGACGGUGGUGUGAUGUACUUUUGGUGAAACCGCAUAGAUUAUCACCGGCUGCCGGUCCUCAACUUGCUGCGGUGCAGGAUGAGCUACUAAUAGUAUUCCAAAGUUGACCAAUGACUUUUCUUGAAAGAAAAAUCAUAGACUUCAUUUUGCAUAAAUUUUUUAAAAUACAUUUUUUAAUUCAUUUUCAAUAACAUUUUUUUAAUAAAAUAAUUUUAGAUGUAAAUUUAUAAUUAUUUUUUCAACUUUUUAAUUAUAUAUUCUUCAAAAAUAUUAAUUUUUAUAAAAUGUAUUUUUGAAAAAAAAAUUAUAUCAAAUAGUUUCUUAAUAUUAUUAUUAAAUAUAUUAGCACGUGAAAUUGAAUUUUCAACUUUGUUAAUAUCAAUUCAAUUCAUAAAAAUACAAAAUUAUAUAAUAUUCCACGUUACCAUCACUAUCUUAUUUCAUCAAAUAUGUUGCACACAAAAUAUAAAUCAAAACAAAAAUCAAUGAUACGUCGAUCUAUCAUGUUAAACCAAAAUUAAAUGUUCCAAAAGGCAAAAAUUUCAUUGGAUAGUUAGUCAAAUUACACAUUUCCUAAGAACCAAAUAUCUAACAAAUAAUUUCCUUUCAUACCCAAAAAUACAAAAUAAAAAACAAAUUGGUCUACCCCACCACACUCCAUCCCCAACUCUACUUUCAAUUUUUUCCACAAAGCCCACCUUCUCUCUCUAGAAAUUUUUUUCUAAAACACAUGCAUCAAAUAAUUAAAAAAAAAUAAAAAAUGACUUUUCUAUUGGCUAAAAGUCAAAUGGAUUGAAGAGAUCGAAAGAAGAAGAGGGUGAAGGAGACACCAUGGAAGCUGAAAACAGGGUUGACGGACUUGGUAUGAACAUGUUGUACCCGAACAUAAACGGGUCCAUUGGCGCCGGAGAGAAGAAUCCCGGCGAUAUGGGUGGCAGGGUUGACGGUGCAGGAGAUAAAAUUCCGGGGACUUGGCCCAUAUCAAGAUUACUGUUUUCAAGAAUAUCCAUAAUAUUAUCUACUGUGAAUUCUCUCUCUCUUUGCCUUUCAGAAGGACUUGUUUUCUCUAUGGAUGCUAGCCUGGCUGCCGGAGAGACGCAGUCGGCUGUGGAGGAGGUCGAGGCGGAUGCGGAGGUGGUGGUGUUGCCUGUGAGUUUUUGAACCAAGUCCAUAAAGUCACCGACGGUGGUGUGAUGUACUUUUGGUGAAACCGCAUAGAUUAUCACCGGCUGCCGGUCCUCAACUUGCUGCGGUGCAGGAUGAGCUACUUGUGUUGGUCCUGG